rnacentral:rRNA from 1 species
CGGGUGAGUAACACGUAAGCAACCUGCCUAUAAGAGGGGAAUAACAGUGAGAAAUUACUGAUAAUACCGCAUAAGCUGGAGGUAUCGCAUGAUACAUUCAGAAAAGAUUUAUCGCUUAUAGAUGGGCUUGCGUCUGAUUAGCUAGUUGGUGAGAUAACAGCUCACCAAGGCGACGAUCAGUAGCCGGAUUGAGAGGUUGAACGGCCACAUUGGGACUGAGACACGGCCCAGACUCCUACGGGAGGCAGCAGUCGGGGAUAUUGCACAAUGGAGGAAACUCUGAUGCAGUGACACCGCGUAUAGGAAGAAGGUCUUAGGAUUGUAAGCUAUUGUCGUGUGAGAAGAAAAUGACCAUCACAGGAGGAAGCCCUGGCUAAAUAUGUGCCAGCAGCCGCGGUAAUACAUAUGGGGCGAGCGUUAUCCGGAUUUAUUGGGCGUAAAGCGAGCGCAGGCGGUUAGAUAAGUCUGAAGUUAAAGGCUGUGGCUUAACCAUAGUACGCUUUGGAAACUGUUUAACUUGAGUGCAGA